rnacentral:rRNA from 1 species
AUUGAACGCUGGCGGAAUGCUUUACACAUGCAAGUCGAGCGGCAGCGCGGGGCAACCUGGCGGCGAGCGGCGAACGGGUGAGUAACACAUCGGAACGUGCCCAGGAGUGGGGGGAUAGCCCGGCGAAAGCCGGAUUAAUACCGCAUACGAACUGAGGUUGAAAGCGGGGGACCGAAAGGCCUCGCGCUCGUGGAGCGGCCGAUGGCAGAUUAGGUAGUUGGUGGGGUAAAGGCCCACCAAGCCUGCGAUCUGUAGCUGGUCUGAGAGGACGACCAGCCACACUGGGACUGAGACACGGCCCAGACUCCUACGGGAGGCAGUAGUGGGGAAUUUUGGACAAUGGGCGCAAGCCUGAUCCAGCCAUUCCGCGUGCAGGACGAAGGCCUUCGGGUUGUAAACUGCUUUGUACGGAGCGAAAGGGUCCUGCCUAAUACGUGGGGCAUAUGACGGUACCGUAAGAAUAAGCACCGGCUAACUACGUGCCAGCAGCCGCGGUAAU